GCUGUGGAAAGGAAGAGAAUCUCAAACGCCUGACACUGAGUUGGGAGAUUAUCAUGAUUGGGAAAGAAGAUUUUGACCACAGAAAUGAUAAGAAAACACUUCAAAUAUUUGAAUGCAGGUUCAACCACAACUGUAUUUGAAUAACAGAUGCUUAAGGAUAUCAUGGAGAACCUCAAGCAUUAAAAUAUUCACCUUUGGGCAGCACCGAUUAGUUUUGCAAAUCAAAUAAA